ACCAUUUAGUGGGGAAUAACUGUUGGAAACGACAGCUAAUACCGCAUAAUAUUGCUGGAUAAUUUCCAGUAAUGAAAGGAGCUUUCAAGCUCCGCUGAUUGAUGAGGAUGCGGCGCAUUAGCUAGUUGGUAGGGUAAUGGCCUACCAAGGCAAUGAUGCGUAGCCGAUCUGAGAGGAUGAACGGCCACAUUGGGACUGAGACACGGCCCAAACUUCUACGGAAGGCAGCAGUAGGGAAUUUUUCACAAUGGGCGAAAGCCUGAUGGAGCAAUGCCGCGUGACUGAUGAAGGUCUUCGGAUUGUAAAGGUCUGUUGUAAGGGAAGAAAUGGUAAAACAGGAAAUGGUUUUAUCUAUGACGGUACCUUACCAGAAAGCCACGGCUAACUAUGUGCCAGCAGCCGCGGUAAUACAUAGGUGGCAAGCGUUAUCCGGAUUUAUUGGGCGUAAAGGGUGCGUANACGGUUUUGCAAGUCUGANGUUAAAUUUAGGAGCUCAACUCCUAAUCGCCUUNNAAACUACAAGACUAGAGUAUAGGAGAGGUUAGUGGAAUUC
rnacentral:rRNA from 1 species